CAGUGAAGACCCUCGGGAACGGGACUACUUAAAAACAGUCUUACACAGAAUUUAUGGCAAGUUUCUUGGUCUUAGAGCAUUUAUCCGAAAACAGAUUAACAAUAUUUUUCUAAGGUUUGUUUAUGAAACAGAACACUUCAAUGGUGUAGCUGAACUGCUGGAAAUAUUAGGAAGUAUUAUCAAUGGCUUUGCUUUACCUCUUAAGGCAG